AACAUGUUAUUAUUAAGGAUACAUGGGAUACUCACUGUCCCGUCAAGUGUCGGUCAGCCCCAUCUGACCGCAGUGCCUGUGCUCAGCUCCCAGGAGCUUUCUGUGGUCUACGGAGAGCGUUGUUCAUGGCCAGCUGCUGAAUGUGACCCCUGUGACUUGCAAACACUGCAAAGAAAGCAAAGGUGAAUAAGCACUGCUAAGUCACCCCCCAGAAUAAUACUGUUUUGUACCAUUUGGAGUAAACCUAAGAGCCGACAUGACAAUUCAACCAUGUUUGCUCGAAAUGUUAGCUUUCAGGACCAACCUUCUCCUGGAUUAGUGACCUUUUGUAAAUUUGUAUAUGUACUGUCUAGCAUAAGCCAAGUCUCAGGGCAUUUUUUGAAAGGACCACAUUAUUUCCUUCUAAAUUUUCAAGUUAAGGAAACAUCGUGUUGGAUCUCUGAUGAAGUCUCAUCGUCAGUGAAGAUGCAAAUUAGAACUUGACCAGACUGAAUUGUGUUUAUCAGGAUUUUAUUGCUGGCUUUUUAUAGAGAGUAUGUUGACAUUUUGUACAGAUGGAAAAUUUGGUUUUCUUUCUCCCACUUACUGUUCUCCUACACAUGUACACACAGUCCCUCAUGUAUAGAGUUGUCAGUCUUAGGAGGAUCAUAUCAUCACAAUACAAGAGGAGAGUUUGAAACACCAGUGUUCUACAUUUAUAUGUUUAUGCUGCACUCACAAUCAGCCAGGCACAGAGCUGCGUCUGUAAUUCGUUGUGACAGCAAACAAUCCAUUUGCAUGUGUAAGAACUUCGUUUGCGGUACUACUACUAAUCAUCCUUUCUUAGGGCAGAAUUUUCAAAGGUAUUUGCACACCUAACCUACUUAUAUGUUUUUGGAAACCUUGUUUGGAACCAUUGAGUGACUUUAGCUGCCAAAUCCCUUAAAAAUGAAGAAUUUUAUAUCAGUUUUAUAGAA